AUGGUUGAUCCUGCCAGUAGCCUAUGCUUGUCUCAAAGAUUAAGCCAUGCAUGUCUAAGUAGGCAUGGCCGGUACAGUGAAACUGCGAAUGGCUCAUUAAAUCAGUUAUGGCUCCUUUGGUCGCUGCCUCCUCUCCUACUUGGAUAACUGUGGUAAUUCUAGAGCUAAUACAUGCCGAUGAGCGCUGACCUCCUUCGCGGGGGGAUGCGUGAAUUUAUCAGAUGAAACCAACCAUAUCAGCCCAUCUUCUGGCCCUGGCCGGGGUGGGGGGGGGGCGUGCCAGCUGCUUUGGUGACUCUAGAUAACCUCCGGCUGAUCGCACGCCCCCCGUGGCAGUGAUGACCCAUUAGAACGUUUGCCCCAUCAACUUUCGAUGGUAGUCGCCAUACCUACCAUGGUGACCACGGGUGACGGGGAAUCAGGGUUCGAUUCUGGAGAGGGAGCCUGAGAAACGGCUACCACAUCCAAGGAAGGCAGCAGGCAUGCAAAUUACCCACUCCUGACCUGGGGAGGUAGUGAUGAAAAAUAACAAUACAGGACUCUUUUGAGGCCCUGUAAUUGGAAUGAGUCUGCUUUAAAUCCUUCAGUGAGGAUCCAUUGGAGGGCAAGUCUGGUGCCAGCCACUGCACUAAUUCCAGCUCAAAUAGCAUAUAUUAAAGUUGCUGCAGUUAAAAAGCUCCUAGUUGGAUCUUGGGAACGGGAGGGCGGGUGAGCCACCGCCCAUCCCUGCCCCUUGCCUCUGGGCGCCCCCUCGAUGCUCUUAGCUGAGUGUCCCGCAGGCCCGAAGCAUUUACUUUGAAAAAAUUAGAGUGUUCAGGCCGGGCACAGUGGCUCACGACAGUAAUCUCAGCACUUUGGGAGGCCGAGGCAGGUGGAUCACGAGGUCAGGUGAUCGAGACCAUCCUGGCUAACACGGUGAAACCCAGUCUCUACUAAAAAUACAAAAAAAGUUAGCCAGGCGAGGUGGCGGGCACCUGGAUUCCCAGCUACUUGGGAGGCUGAGGCAGAAGAAUGGCGUGAACCCUGGGGGGUAGAGCCUGCAGUGAGCCGAGAUCGUGCCACUGCACUCCAGCCUGGGCGACAGCAAGAAUCCGUCUCAAAAAAAAAAAGAAAAAAGAAAAUAUUAGAGUGUUCCAAGCAGGCCCGAGCCACCUGGAUACCACAGCUAGGAAUAAUGGAAUAGGAUCGCAGUUCUAUUUUGUUGGUUUUCGGAAAUCAGGGCAUGAUUAAGAGGGAUGGCUGGGGGCAUUCAUAUUGUGCCACUAGAGGUGAAAUUCUUGUACUGGCGCAGGAUGGACCAGAGUGAAAGCAUUUGCUAAGAAUGUUUUCAUUAAUCAAGAACGAAAGUUGG
rnacentral:ncRNA from 1 species